GUCAUUUUGUCUUAUAGAUGUUAAAGAUGUGUAGUAAAGCCAGUGUUGCUGCAUUUAUUAACCCUCGUUCUCUCCUAGGCAUGUUUAAAUUUAAAGUGGGGUCAUCUGGACCCCACAAGAUGGAACUGUUUUUCCAAGGAUUUUUUUUAUCUUCACUGGUUUUGGUGGCAGACAUAAAAUCCUGUCUACCUUUGUCCACCUCUAUCAUGGGAGGGAUCACACGUCAAUGUUAGCGUGAGAUCAUCUGGACCCAUAAGAGAGCACAUGGUGUUAACUGGUGGUGGCUAAAAUGUAUGUACUGUAACAUCCUUAAAUCUUGUAAUGUUUUUGUAUUUAACUGUAUAAUUACAGUGAAUGAAAUGAUGCUGUUUUGUUUUUUCACAGUAAAGCAAACAAUUGCCUAGAUGAAGCCUUUGCCAGACAUGAUCCCAUCGCCUGUCGCUCCACCCAAGAAGCUACGACAUUCAAGUGAGGUGAUGCUUCACAUCCUCCAGUCGGCAGAACACCCCAACAUCUUUCUUCAAUCAAGACCUUUCUUCAGUCUUGUGGUGAUCGUCUGUGACACCAACUGUGUAACUACCAUUGGAACCAUUUCUGUGUUGAUCUUCUCAAAGGAGGACAUACCUGAUAGCGUGAUGUAUGUCAUGGCAUGUUACUACAUAUUUCACCUCACAUAUCCCAAGAGUAGCAGGACACUCCUAUUUGUGCUGCAGACAGAAGUGCUUAUAGACACUAUCCAUGCCGGAGACAUGACUUCCUCUAACAAAAAAGUCAUGGCUAUUACAACAUUAAUGGUAAUAUUAUAAAUGACCACAGAGCUAUUUUAAAAUAUUGUUGGGAUUUUUAUCAGAAGCUUUAUAGAUGUACAUUUUUUUCAAGAAGCUGCAGACGCCUUUUUGGAUUCCCUGAGGGUCAGAACCAUCUCCAAAAACUGAGAUGUAACAGUAUGAGAACCCAUUUACUUUUGAGGAGGUGAUGUGUGCCAUUAGUCAACUAAAAGAUUACAAAUCACCAGGGCCAGACGGGUUGAUCCCUGAAUUUGAUAAAUCCUUUGCUGAGGAACUUGCUGAUUUUUUAGUUGAAGUAUUUUUGGAAAGUAUGGAUAAAGAAUAGCUUCCUACAACUUUAACUCAAGGUUUGACAACUUUAAUUACAAAAUCUGGAAAAGACAUUGUAAUUUUGGAUAAUUAGCGACCAAUAUCAUUAUUGAACAAUGGUUAUAAAAUCUUUGCAACAAUUUAUCCAAACUUAAAUCUACUUUCAACUAAAAAAACAAGGCUUUAUUCCUCUGAGACAUAUAAUUAACAAUAUCAGGCUAAUUUGAGAUACUCUUGACUAUCCAGAACUUGUGAAUGAUACAAGUUUUAUUUUAUACUUAGGUUUUCAUAAAGCUUUUGAGACUGUUUCUAGAUUCCCCUUAAAAAAAUCCUUUUUGGUGCUUAUUUUUGUUCGGCAAUUGUCACACUUUAUAAAAACAGUAACAGUUCUAUUAAGUUGGCAGGUGGCACCUCUCCCCGAUUUGAUAUAACAAGAGGAAUAAAGCAGGGUUGUCCUGUCUCUCCCUAUCCACGAAUGUAAAUAUUCAGGUAGAGAACCGUGUUUUGUUGCUUUCAUGAGUGAAUUCAAAUUCUAUAUGAAUGGUAUUGUUCAUUCAAAUAACCAAAAAGCUGUAAAGACAUUGUCUAUGUGUGAUAUGUUUGAUAUUUUACCAUAGAUUGUAGCCCCCAACCUCCUGGCUUAAUCAUUGUUUUUGUUUUAUACUCUUGUCUUUUUUUUAUUCCAUUGAUUCAUCUAUUAUUCUGUCCGAUAAAAUGUUCAAUAAAAAAAAAAGGAAAGAAAAACAGACAAAGUUUCUGAUUGGCUUAAACACAAACCGUCAUGAGUUUAGAGAACAGGAUGCAUUAAAGUUUAGUUACCCUAAUGAAUACAUAUGAACUGGGUGGUUUUAACUGUCUCCUCCUUUUCUUUACUUACCAACACUUUCCAA
ensembl:lncRNA